AGGGGCCUUGGUGGAGGGAGCCAUCGCCACAAGGGCUGCUUCCCAGGCAGGCCGGGGAUCCCGGGGCACCCUCCUACCCCUGGCAACAUACACAAGACGUCCCCUGCAGUUCUAGCGGGUGCAACUGGAGUACGGCGAAGGGGUGGGGAGCGGCAGUAUGUGGGUAUCCCAUACCGGCCACUCUCAGCCAGAGCAGAGCUGGAGCUCUGGUUCUCCAAGGAGAAUCCAGGGCAGCAGAAGCCUCACAUCCAUCCCCCAACCCCGCCCCCCCGCUUUGCAGACUGCAGAUGAGUGGAGUAACUUACCGAAGGUGACACCGCUAGAACACAGCAUAGCUCAAACUCCAAGCCAGCCUCUCUCUGCUCAACUGAAGAAUGGAACCAGCAGCCAUUUCAUGCAGCUGUGAGGGCCUGAGAAGGCACAGAGCCACUGCCUGACACAAGGCAAAGAAGAGAUGGUGCCUAGACAUCAAGUCCCAGAAUCGUUUGUCUGCCCACCCAACCACCACACUGCCUUCUGCAGCAGACAGCCUAAGGCAGAGGGAUGACUCUGGGCUGGGUUUGUGAACAAGUACGUGCAGGACAAGAAGUUAACUUGAACAACGUUCCCUGAGGCUUUGAUCAAGACUGGGUGGGAGGAUCCCAGUAGGGAGCCUCACCUUAUUGGAUCCCACUGCUGUUCUAAAAAACAUAGCCGCGCCUCCAACAACGAUUUCUGGAGUAGGUUAGAAUUCAGAAGAGCACUGUUCCAUUCUAUACCAUGGUCACGACUCCCAACCCAGAAGGCUAUUUCCCCAACCUCAAAGAAGAGAUGAGGAGGAUGAAUCUGGGGACCACACAGGGAUGCCCUAUGUCUAGCUCAUAGCUCUACCCAAUAGCUCUUCUAUGCUAGUAACCUCUUGAAAGAGGAUCUUAUAGUAUAUAGCUGAGACUGGCCUGGAACUCAUCAGGUAAGAGGCUGGACUACAUAAAGAGUUAAGCCAACCUCCAAUUCAUGAGUCCUUUCUGCUUUCACCUCCCAAGUGUGGGGAUUACAGGUAUGAGCCACCACUCCCAGCUAAGAACAUUCUUUAUCUGCAUUGUCCAACACGAGCCAUUAGCCGAAUAUACCUGAGUAAUUAGAAGGCUAUUGAGACCACUGCUGUAAUUUAAAUUUAAAUAGCCAUCCAUGGUUUAUGGAUCUCACAUGGGAUGGCUCAGACAAAUCAUGCUUUUAAAACCUGGGGUGGCCAUGUAUAUUCUAGAGAAUGUGCUAAAACCAUAUGCUGUCUCCCCAGAGGAGAUAUCCUGUUGCACAUUCAAGGGAAAUUCAGCUGAACCUUUCAGAAAGCUCAUAAACCUGACCUGAACCCAGAUCUGAGACUAAGUCCAGCUAUAGGCUAGAGCCCAGGGCUGGGGUAUAGCUCAGGCAUAAAGCGCUUACUUGUCUUACGUGUUUAAGGUCUAAUCCCCAGCACGACAAGAAAAAUUAAGUUGCUAGAGAAGUGGCUCUGUUUAGUGAAGUGCUUACUGCAAACAUGAGAACCUAAGUUUGGAUCCCCAGGACCUACAGCACCCACAUGACAGCCCAGCUUUUACCCUGCUCUAGCACUGGAGAUACGAUCCUUCCUGGGGGUUACUGGACAACCAGUCUAGCUGAAUCUGCAAACGCAAUUGGGAGACUGUCUCAAAAAAUAAAAGGGUUGGCCUGG
ensembl:processed_transcript B230319C09Rik RIKEN cDNA B230319C09 gene